GGGAAUUCAUAUCACCUGCAGAAGUGGCAGACUAGUCAUUUCUUGAGAGGAGGAAACCAUUAGUGGUUAAGUCAGAGAGAGGAAGCCAGCCUCCUGGAAGGCAAAUUUUAGCAGUCUGUCCUGCAGAACAUCAAGUCAAUGUAACUUACUGAUGGACUUGAUUUACUGCUGAGGAUAAAUCAUAAGCCAGGCCAGCUUCUAUUAAAUUGGAUCACCAUGAUUGCCAUGUCAACAUGUAUUAUCUUCUUGGCUGUGACUUUAAAUAACCCUGGAUGGGCUCAAGAGGUCAAGCAGCCGGGAUCUACUAGAGCAUUUGAAGGACAACCACACACCCUGAGCUGCAGCCUCUCUUCUGAAUCAAGUGAUGUGAUCCAGUGGUACCGGCAGUUCCCAGGAGAAGGGCUUCGGUAUAUUGCUGGUGCAAUCCCAGGGCAUCCUGGUGAAGGGGCUGAUCCAAAGAGCACAGUGUACGUUGGACAGGACAAGAAAUCCAGCACACUUGUUCUCCAUCAGGUGAAGCUGGCAGAUGCUGCUAUCUACUACUGUGCUCUGAGUGACACAGUGUGUCAGGGAGGGACUAUCCCUGUGCAAAAACUCUUCUCAGUGUCUGAGCAGAGGAGGAGCUAAGGCAGGCAGGAGGAGGCAUGGGAGAUAAGUCAACAGAGAACAUGCAAAAGAAGCAGGCAUAGCAAUGGGGUUUAAAGUGUGUAUUCUUUAUGAGCUGGGAAAUCAAAUUCCAUCGAAGCUCAAGGAGCUGAGGCCACCGCCAUUCACUUAACUUCGAACCAAUCUGAAAUAUGGAGAUUUGAUGCUGAACUUACUUGCAAUGUUAGAAUAACUGAAUGUUGCUCGCUGGUAGAGCAUGAAUAACAUUCCAGGUUCAAUCCUUGGAUUUCUUUCUUUCUUUUUUCCAAUCUUAUUUCUGAAUUUUUCACAAAGAAAGAAAAACUUUACAAAUCUUAACAUAAACCAUAAGUUACCUUAUCAAUUGAUUUCCUAUCCUCCCCUUCCAUCGUUUCCAUAUUUACCCUUAAAUGCUGCAUAUUAUGCCUAUACUGUUCAAUACAUUCAAUUUAACCCAUUUUUCUUAAUAAUUCAUGCAAUUGCUCAUAUUUCAAAUCCUGCUCACAUUUUCAUCUCACUAUAGUAGUUCUUUAAAUACUCAAUAAA
rnacentral:lncRNA from 1 species